AACCGCCACGGGGCGCAGCAGUGGGGAAUAUUGCACAAUGGGCGCAAGCCUGAUGCAGCAACGCCGCGUGAGCGAAGAAGGUCUUCGGAUCGUAAAGCUCUGUCCUUGAGGAAGAAGGAAGUGACGGUACUCAAGGAGGAAGCCCCGGCUAACUACGUGCCAGCAGCCGCGGUAAUACGUAGGGGGCAAGCGUUAUCCGGAUUUACUGGGUGUAAAGGGAGCGCAGGCGGCACGGCAAGCCUGAUGUGAAAGCCCGCGGCCCAACCGCGGGACUGCAUUGGGAACUACCGGGCUGGAGUGCCGGC
rnacentral:rRNA from 1 species